GUGGGGAAUAUUGCACAAUGGGGGAAACCCUGAUGCAGCGACGCCGCGUGGAGGAAGAAGGUCUUCGGAUUGUAAACUCCUGUUGUUGAGGAAGAUAAUGACGGUACUCAACAAGGAAGUGACGGCUAACUACGUGCCAGCAGCCGCGGUAAAACGUAGGUCACAAGCGUUGUCCGGAAUUACUGGGUGUAAAGGGAGCGCAGGCGGGAAGACAAGUUGGAAGUGAAAUCCAUGGGCUCAACCCAUGAACUGCUUUCAAAACUGUUUUUCUUGAGUAGUGCAGAGGUAGGCGGAAUUCCCGGUGUAGCGGUGGAAUGCGUAGAUAUCGGGAGGAACACCAGUGGCGAAGGCGGCCUACUGGGCACCAACUGACGCUGAGGCUCGAAAGUGUGGGUAGCAAACAGGAUUAGAAACCCGAGUAGUCC
rnacentral:rRNA from 1 species